rnacentral:tRNA from 1 species
GCCUUCGUGGUGUAGUGGUCAGCACGCUCGAUUCGAGAGGCCCGUGGUUCGAAUCUCGCGAGGGCG